rnacentral:piRNA from 1 species
UGGUGAGGGACAGAGUCAGGAUUUGAAUC